CUCCUGGAGCUUGUUGAGCCGGGACUCGUUCCUGCUGAUGAAGUCUUUGAGCGUGGCAUUGUGUGACACGCUGAACUCUCUCCAGGUUCCAGCUGGGGGGUCCAAAGCAGGCUCAGGAAAAAGCAUCCUUCCUGGARACCAUGCCCCACUCWGAGUCUUCUCCUCAAGCCUCMUUCGAUGUACCUCCCCAGAUGCAUCGUCAUUCAUCCCCCCACCCCUCGACCCCUUCCUCACCCCCCCCCACCCCUCAACCCCUUCCUCCAAUAAAAUAUUUAAUCUCAUAUCAUGGCACGGUCCUUGCUAGUGAAAGGUGGAAUCACAAUUAUUCAAUGAACAUGGCAUUGAUAUCUGUAUCGGAAUCAGCCAUACUAGCCCUGUAUUUACUUGGUAUUUCAUCAGUACCAAACUUCCUAGUAUACCUGAUAAUAAACACACCUAAGACAAAGUGGACUUCUACCUGACAGCUGUACUUUUGAUCACUCAUCCAUGGAGUCUGCCAUUGUGCUACUAAUUUGUACUAUGCAUUAGUUUGCACACAUAUUUAUUUUCAAACAAUACCCGUCUUAACUUGUCAWAGUCCUCAAUCCUUCCAUGGAAUUAUGCUGCUCCAGUGUGCAUUUUAAAUGCACUGCAUGUACGUUGUGUUUAUAUUCAUAAUUGCACUGUGUAGWACUACCUGUUGAGUAGUAUUAUCUUUUAUUGGCUAGUAUUUUCUAUAGUAAAGCGGUAAAACAUC